UACGUAGGGUGCGAGCGUUAAUCGGAAUUACUGGGCGUAAAGCGUGCGCAGGCGGUUUUGUAAGUCAGAUGUGAAAUCCCCGGGCUCAACCUGGGAACUGCGUUUGAAACUACAAGGCUAGAGUGUAGCAGAGGGGGGUAGAAUUCCACGUGUAGCAGUGAAAUGCGUAGAGAUGUGGAGGAAUACCAAUGGCGAAGGCAGCCCCCUGGGUUAACACUGACGCUCAUGCACCGAAAGCGUGGGG
rnacentral:rRNA from 1 species